rnacentral:rRNA from 1 species
CUUUCCUUGAUGACGACUGGCGCACGGGUGAGUAACGCGUAUCCAACCUUCCCAUAACUACGGAAUAACCCGUUGAAAGACGGCCUAAUACCGUAUGAUAUCGUUUGCUGACAUCAAAUAACGAUUAAAGGUUUAGCGGUUAUGGAUGGGGAUGCGUCUGAUUAGCUUGUUGGUGGGGUAACGGCCCACCAAGGCUACGAUCAGUAGGGGUUCUGAGAGGAAGGUCCCCCACAUUGGAACUGAGACACGGUCCAAACUCCUACGGGAGGCAGCAGCC